rnacentral:rRNA from 1 species
UACGGGGGGGGCAAGCGUUGUUCGGAAUUACUGGGCGUAAAGGGCUCGUAGGUGGCCAACUAAGUCAGACGUGAAAUCCCUCAGCUUAACUGGGGAACUGCGUCUGAUACUGGAUGGCUUGAGUUUGGGAGAGGGAUGCGGAAUUCCAGGUGUAGCGGUGAAAUGCGUAGAUAUCUGGAGGAACACCGGUGGCGAAGGCGGCUUACUGGACCAUAACUGACGCUGAGACACGAAAGCGUGGGUAGCAAACAGG